UCAGCAGGCCGCGGUAAUACGUAGGGUGCGAGCGUUAAUCGGAAUUACUGGGCGUAAAGAGUGCGCAGGCGGCUCUCUAAGACAGGUGUGAAAUCCCCGGGCUUAACCUGGGAAUGGCGCUUGUGACUGGAGAGCUAGAGUGUGGCAGAGGGGAAUGGAAUUCCUGGUGUAGCAGUGAAAUGCGUAGAUAUCAGGAGGAACACCAAUGGCGAAGGCAGUUCCCUGGGCCAACACUGACGCUCAUGCACGAAAGCGUGGGGAGCAAACAGGAUUAGAUACCCUGGUAGUCCACGCCCUAAACGAUGUCAACUAGUUGUUGGGGGAGGAGACUCCUUUAGUAACGAAGCUAACGCGUGAAGUUGACCGCCUGGGGAGUACGGCCGCAAGGCUAAAACUCAAAGG
rnacentral:rRNA from 1 species